rnacentral:rRNA from 1 species
AGAACGAACGCUGGCGGCAUGCCUAAUACAUGCAAGUCGAACGAACACUUCGGUGUUAGUGGCGCACGGGUGCGUAACGCGUGGGAAUCUGCCCUUGGGUUCGGAAUAACAGUUGGAAACGACUGCUAAUACCGGAUGAUAUCGAAAGAUCAAAGAUUUAUCGCCCAGGGAUGAGCCCGCGUAGGAUUAGCUAGUUGGUGAGGUAAAGGCUCACCAAGGCGACGAUCCUUAGCUGGUCUGAGAGGAUGAUCAGCCACACUGGGACUGAGACACGGCCCAGACUCCUACGGGAGGCAGCAGUAGGGAAUAUUGGACAAUGGGCGCAAGCCUGAUCCAGCAAUGCCGCGUGAGUGAUGAAGGCCUUAGGGUUGUAAAGCUCUUUACCCGAGAUGAUAAUGACAGUAUCGGAGAAUAAGCCCCGCUAACUCCGUGCCAGCAGCCGCGGU